GAUGAACGCUGGCGGCGUGCCUAAUACAUGCAAGUCGAGCGAAUGGAUUGAGAGCUUGCUCUUAUGAAGUUAGCGGCGGACGGGUGAGUAACACGUGGGUAACCUGCCCAUAAGACUGGGAUAACUCCGGGAAACCGGGGCUAAUACCGGAUAACAUUUUGAACCGCAUGGUUCGAAAUUGAAAGGCGGCUUCGGCUGUCACUUAUGGAUGGACCCGCGUCGCAUUAGCUAGUUGGUGCGGUAACGGCUCACCAAGGCAACGAUGCGUAGCCGACCUGAGAGGGUGGUCGGCCACACUGGGACUGAGACACGGCCCAGACUCCUACGGGAGGCAGCAGUAGGGAAUCUUCCGCAAUGGACGAAAGUCUGACGGAGCAACGCCGCGUGAGUGAUGAAGGCUUUCGGGUCGUAAAACCCUGUUGUUAGGGAAGAACAAGUGCUAGUUGAAUAAGCUGGCACCUUGACGGUACCUAACCAGAAAGCCACGGCUAACUACGUGCCAGCCGCCGCGGUAA
rnacentral:rRNA from 1 species